GACAGAGGGUGCAAACGUUGUUCGGAAUUACUGGGCGUAAAGCGUGCGUAGGUGGCUGCGUAAGUCGGAUGUGAAAGCCCUGGGCUCAACUCAGGAAGUGCACUCGAUACUGCGUAGCUCGAGUACCGGAGAGGUUGGUGGAAUUCUCGGUGUAGAGGUGAAAUUCGUAGAUAUCGAGAGGAACACCUGUGGCGAAGGCGGCCAACUGGACGAGUACUGACACUGAGACACGAAAGCGUGGGGAGCAAACAGG
rnacentral:rRNA from 1 species